AGGUGACUUGACAAAGAAUGCUCAAGCUGGCAUGCCAUAAUCUUGGAAUUAGUUAUUUCACAGAGUUUUAGGGCUACCAGAUUACUCUUGCUCCAGUCAGUGCACAUGAUCUAAGCUCAGGGGCUCGUACUAUUCAUUUUGAGUUACGGAGCGUUACUAUGUGGAGAGCUGCUUGAUACAAUUGAGAGGAUCUGUAUGUGGAGAGGAGGACGAAACCCAGUAUUAGGGCUCCGCUACAGCUAGGGUAUUGGUCGUGUUAAGUCUCCUUUUGGGUGAAGAAGGCGAUACAGAAUGAGCAUGCAAUAGGGCAUUGAGUUGAGGGACUAAAAUACUCAGUACAUGAUCUCCAGGAGCGUUGUACUCGACCGUAAUCAUAAUUGACACCCUGAUCAUUCUUAAAACUUCUCGAUUCUGGACUGAUCUGCUGUUUUAGAUCCAUCACCUGAAACAUAGCUUAAUUUCACAAGUCCCACUCCUCAAGUUCGUCAUUGCACAUCUGAAUGUGUCGUAAUCAGUCAUUCUGUUUGUUUGCUUGCCGUUUUUUUAAAUUUGUUCUAAUUUUUUUGGUUUAGCAUCGAUCAGGCAAGAUUAGGGAUUUCACAGCUGAGGAAUGUGCCGUUCUCUUUGCGCUGAAACUUGGAGAUUGGGUUUUUCAUCGCGAUAUGUAAAUAUCAAUGUCAGUGGAAUCAAACUCGGGGCUGCUGCUGUCAGGUGCCCUGGCGUUCUCCCGAAACGAAUGAUUUAAUUCGUUUCUCUGCACGAAGUUCAGAGUUAACGUGCUUAGCCGACUUCAACUUUAUGAUGUGGCCGAGAGAAUUACUGUUGAUCAUAUGAUAUCAGAUUCUUGUGGUGAGUACGGCAUCGAAAACUAAGAGAGCAGGAAACGACACCAGUUCAAAUGGUGUGAAUAAUUUGUAUAAAUGGUAAUUUUUAUGGGACCGAAGAAUAUCUACAAAUUUGUGAAGGCAUGCUGAGACCCACGCACUUGAUAUCGUUCUGGCCACGAGGUUGGUAACGCACAGCAGCCUCUUCAUUGCCGCACUCAAAUUGCCUCUGUGUGAUUGUUUGUCUGAGACGUCCUGGUGACUUACAUUGACGAAUCAGAAGAUGACGUGCAUUGGACUUUCUCGGAAGAGAUCAUGUAAAUAAGUUAUUUGUUUACAUCACAAUACUUAGUUUCUUCACUUUCCUUGGACAUGCACAGCUCUGAACCAUAGCUCAUGAAAUCCAACUUAUCAGAGGUAUUUUAUUUCUUUGUUUUAGAUGCAAGUAAGUGGGUGCAUAUGUAGAGUUUCAACCAAUGUUCUCGGUAAAUCUCAACAUCUGAAUGGGACGAUAGGCUGUAGGGUUUCUGCUGUUGGUUUUAAUAAAUGUGAUUAUCGUGUUUUCGAAGUUGUACUUGGCAGACGAGCCCCAGCAUUGUGUACGGCUUUUGGAAGUGAAGGAGCAUAAUGAUGCGCAUUGUGCAAACAGCCAGUGGGUUUGCAUUGGCAUUCUGCUUACUGUCCGUCGAAAUUAGCUCAUCACGUAAAUUCCUGCCUGUCUCUUCAUGACUGUUCAGCGGAAAGGAAUUGUCUUCAUGAGUUGAAGGUAAGGAGAGCAAUUACACUUAUAGAUAUAUAUUUUCAAUAUUCCGUUUCAGGUGACGCAGCAUGUUCUUACACUAAUCCAGAAUCGCAACUGCAAGUGUUGGGAAACUUGAAUUCUCGUCGCGCAGAAUAAAUGCCUUGUGCACAUUCAAGCGGAGGUCUCACCUAUCAUGUCGGCCAAGGGUGAAAAAGCCCAUAUCCUUCGCAACAAGAAGAAUCGGUGCUGAAGAUGGUCCAACUUACUGGAGUGUUUACCACAACAUAAAGGACGAUGAAGAAGAUGAAAUUAAAUGCUCAUCUAUUCAUAGCAUUGUACGAUUAGCGAUCGACAUUAAGAUACUACGCCAGCGUGAUGUCAGAUUUUUCUGUAAACUAUAGAGGAGGCUCAAAGUAACGAGGUGUCAUCGUGAACUACAAAUGUACUACCAAAUGUUUUUAAGUCAGGCGAAUGCGUGAUGCUUAAGGCUCUUCUUACGAUCACUCCGAUUGCAGCUGUUACUUAUCAAAAGCAAUUGGCAAUCUCCGUUCUAAAACUUUCUUUCUUUCCCCCUCACUCUCUCACUCUCUAUCUUGUUUGUUUGAUUUGAUUUGAUUUGUUUUUGUUUUUGUUUGUUUGUUUGUUUUGUUUUGUUUUGUUUUUUCUUUUGUUUUGUUUUUUGGUGCAGCGAUGCUGCAGUUGAUGAUUAUCCAUUCACGUCAAGUCAUCUCAAAUUAAAAUCAGUAAUAACGGUAAUUCUGGAAGGUGAGGUAUUUCAGCUGAGUUCGGGGAGUGGUGGUGAAUCGCAGCCGUACUGCUUCUUCGGAAACAAUCCUGAAGGAUCCGGAAUGUGGGCCAGAGAAAGGAAAAGGAAUCCGACGAGGGUGCGCCUCGUGGAAGACCCAAAUCUGAGAGGGGGCAAGGCGAGGCCGGAGAGGGUGUUGUACGAACUCGUUUUCUCCUUGACUCUGAUUAAGCAGGGUUGGGAGCUCAAAUCCUGCCAAUCUAGCUUGUAAACAGAAGUUAAUUUAUUAUUGCUUAUUAUUGUGGGAAACGACAAUGCCCACAAUGGCGCGGGCUGUAGAUGCUCUGGCCAUGAAGGCUCUGUCGCCUCUCUCCUCAGGGUUCCUACGACCCACCACUUCCUGUUGCAACUUAUUAUGUUUUUAAUUUUUUACCCUUAGUAUUAGCAGUUCUCUGAA